rnacentral:rRNA from 1 species
UACAGAGGUCUCAAGCGUUGUUCGGAUUCAUUGGGCGUAAAGGGUGUGUAGGUGGCGCCGUAAGUCAGGUGUGAAAUUUCGGAGCUCAACUCCGAAACUGCAUUUGAUACUGCGGUGCUUGAGGACUGGAGAGGAGACUGGAAUUUACGGUGUAGCAGUGAAAUGCGUAGAUAUCGUAAGGAAGACCAGUGGCGAAGGCGGGUCUCUGGACAGUUACUGACACUGAGACACGAAGGCCAGGGGAGCAAACGGG